rfam:Erinaceus europaeus unplaced genomic scaffold scaffold00755, whole genome shotgun sequence
AUGCAAGAGUGACCUGGCUGUGAUACUUGUCACCCCAUGGAUUCAGCUGAUCUGGUUGGCUUGGCAGGUGUCCCCUUUCCCCUUCAAGGCUACUUGGACAUCCUUUUGGAAGCUAAGGACUGGGGUCAAAGAAGACAAUCUUCCCCAAAUAGAGAAGGACACAUCUUCAGUCCAGGGUAUAGGAAUAGCUGCACACCCCUGCUAGAACCUCCAAGUAAACACUCAAAAAAUAAAAUAUCUUGAUAUUAAAACAUUACAAGGAUCCCUGUUUUUCUUUUAAAUAUUGGAUAGCUU